GUAACUUGAUCCCUGGAGGUGUCAACUCAGUAACUUGAUCCCUGGAGGUGUCAACUCAGUAACUUGAUCCCUGGAGGUGUCAACUCAGUAACUUGUUCCCUGGUGCUGGUGUCAACUCAGUAACUUGUUCCCUGGAGGUGUCAACUCAGUAACUUGAUCCCUGGAGGUGUCAACUCAGUAACUUGUUCCCUGGAGGUGUCAACUCAGUAACUUGAUCCCUGGAGGUGUCAACUCAGUAACUUGAUCCCUGGAGGUGUCAACUCAGUAACUUGAUCCCUGGAGGUGUCAACUCAGUAACUUGUUCCCUGGAGGUGUCAACUCAGUAACUUGAUCCCUGGAGGUGUCAACUCAGUAACUUGAUCCCUGGAGGUGUCAACUCAGUAACUUGAUCCCUGGAGGUGUCAACUCAGUAACUUGAUCCCUGGAGGUGUCAACUCAGUAACUUGAUCCCUGGAGAUGUCAACUCAGUAACUUGAUCCCUGGAGGUGUCAACUCAGUAACUUGUUCCCUGGAGAUGUCAACUCAGUAACUUGAUCCCUGGAGGUGUCAACUCAGUAACUUGAUCCCUGGAGGUGUCAACUCAGUAACUUGUUCCCUGGUGCUGGUGUCAACUCAGUAACUUGUUCCCUGGAGGUGUCAACUCAGUAACUUGUUCCCUGGAGAUGUCAACUCAGUAACUUGUUCCCUGGAGGUGUCAACUCAGUAACUUGAUCCCUGGAGGUGUCAACUCAGUAACUUGAUCCCUGGAGGUGUCAACUCAGUAACUUGAUCCCUGGAGGUGUCAACUCAGUAACUUGAUCCCUGGAGGUGUCAACUCAGUAACUUGAUCCCUGGAGGUGUCAACUCAGUAACUUGAUCCCUGGAGGUGUCAACUCAGUAACUUGAUCCCUGGAGGUGUCAACUCAGUAACUUGAUCCCUGGAGGUGUCAACUCAGUAACUUGAUCCCUGGAGGUGUCAACUCAGUAACUUGAUCCCUGGAGGUGUCAACUCAGUAACUUGAUCCCUGGAGAUGUCAACUCAGUAACUUGAUCCCUGGAGGUGUCAACUCAGUAACUUGUUCCCUGGCGCUGGUGUCAACUCAGUAACUUGAUCACUGACGCUGGUGUCAACUCAGUAACUUGAACCCUGGCGCUGGUGUCAACUCAGUAACUUGAUCCCUGGCGCUGGUGUCAACUCAGUAACUUGAUCCCUGGAGGUGUCAACUCAGUAACUUGUUCCCUGGUGCUGGUGUCAACUCAGUAACUUGUUCC